CUAAAUGUUUAAAUGUUACGUAAAUGAUAUUGUGCAUCAAAUCAUCAACUAGAAAUAUAUGCAUGCAACAACCCCUCGCCAAUAUUUUCCAAACAUUAUUUCAACAUGAAGUAUUACGCCAACACUGAACACAGGCUCUCGUUGCUCACGUCAUGUAAUCAUGUUUGCCAUGGCAACACGGUAAUUGUUUUCUUUUAAUUUUUUGUACAAAACUGCAAAAAAUAAAUGAAAA